AACGAACGCUGGCGGCAUGCCUAACACAUGCAAGUCGAACGAGACCUUCGGGUCUAGUGGCGCACGGGUGCGUAACGCGUGGGAACCUGCCCUUAGGUUCGGAAUAACUCCCCGAAAGGGGUGCUAAUACCGGAUAAUGUCUUCGGACCAAAGAUUUAUCGCCUUUGGAUGGGCCCGCGUUGGAUUAGCUAGUUGGUAGGGUAAAAGCAUACCAAGGCGACGAUCCAUAGCUAGUCUGAGAGGAUGAUCAGCCACACUGGGACUGAGACACGGCCCAGACUCCUACGCGACGCAGCAGUCGAGAAUCUUGGACUCCCGGCGAAAGCCUGAUCCAGCCCUGCCGCGUGAGUGAUGAAGGCCUUAGGGUUGUAAAGCUCUUUUACCCAGGAUCCUAAUGACCUCUCCGGGAGAAUAGUGUCCGGCUACCCCCGUG
rnacentral:rRNA from 1 species